rnacentral:snoRNA from 1 species
AUGGAAGUGAUGAUUAUUUCCCAGAUGAUUGACACUAAACAAACUGAGCAUUUUUAUUUCACUUUUUUUUAUUAAACGAGAAUUUAAGCUAGGAAACUCAUCCAU